CACGUCGAAAUACGGUUGAAGCAAGACGGAAAUUUCGUUGUGGAAGCAUUGUUUUCUGCCGUAGAAGAAGGUAACAUUGCUGGAUUGGAAGAACUUUUCACCAUAUCUCGCAUUGACCCGAAUUUCUGUAAUAAGCACGGAGAAACUGCAGUCCAUAUAGCCUCUGGUCUGGGACACCUGAACGUUGUGAAAUUCUUACAUUCCAAACGAGCUAAUAUUCAUGCUCUUGACAGCCAUGGAGAUAGUGCUAUCUACUGGGCUGCGAGACAAGGCCCGAUCAUAUUAGC
rnacentral:lncRNA from 1 species